rnacentral:rRNA from 1 species
AUUGAACGCUGGCGGCAUGCUUUACACAUGCAAGUCGAACGGUAACAGGCCGCAAGGUGCUGACGAGUGGCGAACGGGUGAGUCAUGCAUCGGAACGUGCCCAGUCGUGGGGGAUAACGCAGCGAAAGCUGUGCUAAUACCGCAUACGAUCUAUGGAUGAAAGCGGGGGACCGUAAGGCCUCGCGCGAUUGGUGCGGCCGAUGUCAGAUUAGGUAGUGGGUGGGGUAAAGGCUCACCAAGCCAACGAUCUGUAGCUGGUCUGAGAGGACGACAAGCCACACUGGGACUGAGACACGGCCCAGACUCCUACGGGAGGCAGCAGUGGGGAAUUUUGGACAAUGGGCGCAAGCCUGAUCCAGCAAUGCCGCGUGCAGGAAGAAGGCCUUCGGGUUGUAAACUGCUUUUGUACGGAACGAAAAGGUUUGGGUUAAUACCCUGGGCCGAUGACGGUACCGUAAGAAUAAGCACCGGCUAACUACGUGCCAGCAGCCGCCGUAA